rnacentral:lncRNA from 1 species
UUAGUCUUUUGACUUGAAUGUUUUUGCUUUAUUUUCUUCUUGCCUCGACGAUAUUCCUCGUUUCAUGCGUCGCCCUUUUUCGUCUCCUUCCAUACUUUUUUCGAUACUGGCGCUCAAAAAGAAACCUUUGAAUCGAAUGCAUCGUCUAUACUUUCAAGCUAAAAGAGCGUAAAUUCUCGUCGACUAAAAUCAGUGACGACUAACUCUUAUCCACACGGCCACGGCACCGUUCUGGAGUUCAUAUUCGGAAAUCGAUAGUUAAAAAUUUAUCCAGGAGGAAAAAGCUUUGGCUCUCCACUGGCUGCAGCCGUUGCAAAAGAACGCUGGGAGUUAUUUUCCCUCUGCUAUGGACGAGAAAAAGCGUCGAGAGAGUUGUCGACGACAGGAAAAAGGUCGAGGUAAAAGAGAGCAACAAAGAAAAGAGGGGAUUUUUGCGUUUUCAAUACACAAUAUAAAUUUGUCCGAAGAUGAAAAAAAAUUGCGGACGCGUACUUUGAUCGGGGAGAAGCAGACGCAUCAGGUGAAACUCAAGCAGUGGUUUGUAUAUUCACAGCGCGUGUAGCGCACAAAGGGAGACGGCCUUAAUAGAUCCCAGGGGAGCAAUUAAUACGACGACAUCGCUCCCCCUUUAUGCAAAAGGUUUAGGCAUCACCAUGGAUAAAUCGCGUAGGCAUUAAAUUACCGUGUGAAUUAGCCUUUAAACACUGAUGCUCCUUUAGCUUCGAGUUGGGUAAUCCAUUAAACUUUUAAUUCUCUUCAAGUCUU